rnacentral:rRNA from 1 species
UGCCAGCAUCCGCCGUACUCCUGAUUGGGCUAGCGUUGUUCGGAAUUACUGGGCGUAAAGCGCGCGUAGGCGGGCUGGUCAGUUGGGGGUGAAAUCCCGAGGCUCAACCUCGGAACUGCCCUCAAUACUGCCAGUCUAGAGUUCGAGAGAGGUGAGUGGAAUUCCUAGUGUAGAGGUGAAAUUCGUAGAUAUUAGGAAGAACACCAGUGGCGAAGGCGGCUCACUGGCUCGAUACUGACGCGGAGGCGCGAAAGCGUGGGGAGCAAACAGGAGUAGAUA